GAUGAACGCUGGCGGCGUGCCUAAUACAUGCAAGUCGAGCGAACAGACGAGGAGCUUGCUCCUCUGACGUUAGCGGCGGACGGGUGAGUAACACGUGGAUAACCUACCUAUAAGACUGGGAUAACUUCGGGAAACCGGAGCUAAUACCGGAUAAUAUAUUGAACCGCAUGGUUCAAUAGUGAAAGACGGUUUUGCUGUCACUUAUAGAUGGAUCCGCGCCGCAUUAGCUAGUUGGUAAGGUAACGGCUUACCAAGGCGACGAUGCGUAGCCGACCUGAGAGGGUGAUCGGCCACACUGGAACUGAGACACGGUCCAGACUCCUACGGGAGGCAGCAGUAGGGAAUCUUCCGCAGUGGGCGAAAACCUGACGGAGCAACGCCGCGUGAGUGAUGAAGGUCUUCGGAUCGUAAAACUCUGUUAUUAGGGAAGAACAAAUGUGUAAGUACUAUGCACGUCUUGACGGUACCUAAUCAGAAAGCCACGGCUAACUACGUG
rnacentral:rRNA from 1 species